CCUACGGGUGGCAGCAGUGAGGAAUAUUGGUCAAUGGGCGCGAGUCUGAACCAGCCAAGUAGCGUGAAGGAUGACUGCCCUACGGGUUGUAAACUGCUAUUAUAAAGGAAUAAAGUGAGGCACGUGUGCCUUUUUGCAUGUACUUCAUGAAUAAGGACCGGCUAAUUCCGUGCCAGCAGCCGCGGUAAUAUGGAGGGUCCGGGCGUUAUCCGGAUUUAUUGGGUUUAAAGGGAGCGUAGAUGGGUUGUUAAGUCAGUUGUGAAAGGCUGCGGCUCAACCGUAGAAUUGCAAUUGGUACUGGCAGGCUUGAGUACAGUUGAGGUAGGCGGAAUUCGUGGUGUAGCGGUGAAAUGCUUAGAUAUCACGAAGAACUCCGAUUGCGAAGGCAGCUUACUAAACUGCCACUGACACUGAUGCUCGAAGGUGUGGGUAUCAAACAGGAUUAGAUACCCGAGUAGUC
rnacentral:rRNA from 1 species